rnacentral:tRNA from 3 species
GCCCAGGUGGCGGAAUUGGUAGACGCGCUGGUCUCAAACACCUGUGGGUUCACCCCCGUACCGGUUCGACUCCGGUCCUGGGCACCA